rnacentral:lncRNA from 1 species
GGAUUUGCCCUUCUAUGCAUUGAUGGAGCACCUGCUGCCCACAGCGUCUGUAUUUGGUGCUGGGAUGCUGAGGACACUGAGAUCUUCAAACAGAGGCUGCCACUCUAAGCAAACAGAUCCCGAGCCCUGGACUCUGAAGCUUGGGCCCAGUUCUCCUUUUCUCCGGGUUUCAGAUCCCACUGUGAAGUGAGGGGGCCCUUCUGAUUCAGGACCCGGGGAAGCCAGGGGCAUGAGCAUCGGUGCCUCUUCUCUAUUUCAAGGACCCUUCUGGGUGUAAAGUUCUCUGAGAUGCCUUACAUGGAUUCCCACCACUGCAAGAUAACCAUCGUAUGUAAAGUGUUAUGACCAGCAGAGCGUAAUUGAAGUGCAUUCCAGAGGGAAAGACAGCGGCUCAGGUAGGCCUUGCCAGGCGUUUUGGGGUUUCACCCAUGGGAUGCUGCUUGUUUGCUGAUACCACUAAGCAAAUGAACAGUUGCAUUCUCUGAGAGGGAAACAGUCCAGCCAAAAUGGUGCAUGGCUCACCCAGGAUUCACGCCACACCCAGUGUCACCCCAGCAGCGGGGGGCCUGGGAACCACUUCUGUGU